rnacentral:rRNA from 1 species
UACGUAGGUGGCAAGCGUUGUCCGGAUUUACUGGGCGUAAAGAGCGCGCAGGCGGUCGAUCAAGUCGAGUGUGAAAGCCCCCGGCUCAACUGGGGAGGGUCAUUCGAUACUGAUCGACUCGAAGGCAGGAGGGGGUAGUGGAAUUCCCGGUGUAGUGGUGAAAUGCGUAGAUAUCGGGAGGAACACCAGUGGCGAAGGCGACUACCUGGCCUGUUCUUGACGCUGAGGCGCGAAAGCUAGGGGAGCAAACGGG